ACACCGUUAAUUUGCGUGCACAUACAGGAAUUGUUCUUCUGUAUAGGUAUUUUUAUGGUAUGAUAUAUAUCAAUAUGACACAUCCACAACUUCUCUCCUAGGAAAGAAUCUCAGAGUCUGAACCUUGAGAAACUGGUGGAAUGACAACACAGGAGGAUUUAGUCAACAUCUUUCAUGCAAGGACUGUCUUACACCGUCCUUUGAUUAGUGCUGUGAUCAAUGGCAGUGAAGGUGGUUAUGUUGGAAAAAGAUGUCCUGAAAACUGGUUUUCUGGUGUGUGCCUAAGUAUUAAGAUUCUGCAGGGCAGAAGGCAUGUAUUAGGAAUGGCGGCCACAAAUCCAAUGAGGUAUUUCAGGUUACGGAUAAGCUAGAGGACAAAAGAGAGUUUUUCAUACCGCCAGGUUUAAUUUGAAUCUGAAGAACACCAAACAGCCGAGAUCUGAGAGCAACUCCUAGGCUCACAGAAACAUUCUCAUGUCUUUUUGACUGAAUUAAAUGUUGGUCUUUCAAUUACAUCUUGUAUUACGAGCUGCUUGCAAAUCUUUGUAUCUGAUCAUUCUCUCAUUGUGUUGGAAAACAAUAUGUGGGAGUUUCUUUCCAUACUCGAUCUUUGUGGGUUACUUGCUAGUAAACUAAUUUUACAUGACUCAGAUUUAAAUAAUAAAAAGGCUUAACUCCAGUCUGAGAAGAGUUUA
rnacentral:lncRNA from 14 species